GUGGAUUAGAUACCCUGGUAGUCCGCACUGUAAACGAUGAUUACUCGCUGCUGGGAGGUAACUUUCAGUGGCUUAGCGAAAGCGAUAAGUAAUCCACCUGGGGAGUACGCCGGCAACGGUGAAACUCAAAGGAAUUGACGGGGGCCCGCACAAGCGGAGGAGCAUGUGGUUUAAUUCGAUGAUACGCGAGGAACCUUACCAGGGCUUGAAAGUUAGUGACCGACUCUGAAAGGAGUCUUCCCGCAAGGGCACGAAACUAGGUGCUGCAUGGCCGUCGACAACU
rnacentral:rRNA from 1 species